GCCGCCUUAGCUCAGGGGUAGAGCAACUGAUUUGUAAUCAGUAGGUCGGGGGUUCAAAUCCCUCAGGCGGCACCA
rnacentral:tRNA from 1 species